rnacentral:misc_RNA from 1 species
GGGCAGGCCCUGCCACUUACAAGAAUCGUGGUAAAAAUUUAAGUUUUAAAGCAACCAAUCAUUUUGGUUACUUUCCGCAACACUCCAGUAAUCCAUUUUCACUUGUGAACAGAUUCCUAUUGUAGUUUGUGUAAUGCAAAUUUGUCAACCAAUAUUUCUUAUUGAAGUUUUUCUCUUUUUCUUUCUUGGCAUUGAAAACAGA